GAGAGAGAGAGAAUGAGAAAGGGGAGGGAAAAAGAGGCACGAACGGAAAGAAGAGAGAAGAAGCAGCGCGGAAGAAUAACGAUAAGGUUACACGCGGGAAAAGAGAGAACGAGAAAGAAAAACGGAUGCUCUUUCGCACGCACCCGUGAACUCCCCUACUCGUCCCUCUUUCCCCUCGACAUAGUCGCGAUAGCCGUGAACAAUGAAAUUUCAGAACAGGAACGGAAGUACGUAACGAUUAGCCAUUAGAUUUAUCGAGCGAUCGAGCACUCCUGUCGACUGCCACCACUUUUGAUAGAAUAACGUGAACGAAAAACUCGUAUAGUGUUAUGUACGACGUUACAUUGUAAGAAGCGACGAUCAUUAUUUUACACGGAGGACGGGGGUAGGUGGGACUUUGAUUUCUCUCGAAUGGAAAUGCACGAGCCUCGAUGAAAAAUAUUGUAUAAAAUAAAUAUUGUCACACUCGCGCAUACCGCGUUAAUGUUAAAAAUCCAUAAAAUUUACAUCUAAUUUAUUUACCUCUAAUUCACUUAUUCUCUAAUUUACGUAAAACUGAACUUUCGAUCUUUCAUCGACGGCUGUAUCACGGCGACGCCGGUUCCUACUUUGUCCUCCCAAUUGUUAUAUUGAUACAAUUUUUAUCGAGAAAAGAAAGGUGCCAACUAUCUGUAUAACUAAUUCUGCAUAGGCGAGUGCGAAUUCAUCGACUUACAUUGUACGUUAAACAAGUAUUAACGGGCAUUCGUUCAUUACGUCAUCGCGUCGCGAGCGAACUCUCGAUGAACUUCCGUACGAUAUAACAUUUCCUUGUAACGAUAUUCUGUGGUAAUUAACAUGGCUGUCUCGUAUACGAGGUGUACUCGCCAUCGAGUUUCCUGUCCGCGACAAGAAACCGAAUGUGUGUAUUCUACUGACUGAGUCUUUAGCCAAAAAAAAAAA